rnacentral:rRNA from 1 species
CCAUUCCCGACACGGGGAGGUAGUGACGAAAAAUAACAAUACAGGACUCUAACGAGGCCCUGUAAUUGGAAUGAGCACAGUCUAAACCUUUUAACGAGUAUCCAUUGGAGGGCAAGUCUGGUGCCAGCAGCCGCGGUAAUUCCAGCUCCAACAGUGUAUGCUAAAGUUGUUGCGGUUGAAAAGCUCGUAGUUGGAUCUUGGGUGGGCGCCGCCGGUCCGUCGCAAGGCGUGUCACUGGCGGCGCUCUCCUCGUGUUCGGUUCUCUGUCGGUGCUCUUGACUGAGUGUCGGCGGUGGCCGAUGAGUUUACUUUGAAAAAAUUAGAGUGUUCAAAGCAGGCUUCUCGCCUGAAUAGUGUUGCAUGGAAUAAUGGAAUAGGACCUCGGUUCUAUUUUGUUGGUUUUCGGAGCGCGAGGUAAUGAUUAAGAGGGACAGACGGGGGCGUCCGUACUCUGCCGUUAGAGGUGAAAUUCUUGGAUCGGCGGAAGACGAACUACUGCGAAAGCAUUCGCCAAGAAUGUUUUCUUUAAUCAAGAGCGAAAGUCAGAGGUUCGAAGACGAUCAGAUACCGUCCUAGUUCUGACUAUAAACGAUGCCAACUAGCGAUCGGGAGGCGUUACCAUGACGACCUUCCCGGCAGCUUCCGGGAAACCAAAGUCUUUGGGUUCUGGGGGAAGUAUGGUUGCAAAGCUGAAACUUAAAGGAAUUGACGGAAGGGCACCACCAGGAGUGGAGCCUGCGGCUUAAUUUGACUCAACACGGGGAAACUCACCCGGCCCGGACACAGGUAGGAU